CUUGCCCUUCUCAACGUCUGACACGUUGUUGAUGUGAGUUAGUUUUUAACCAGUUUGGAUGUUUUUAAGCACUCAACUAAUUCAGACAGCGUAAAGAACGAAGAGUUUUUUUAAGGAGCAGUAUGGUUGAAUGGCAUCUGCAUGAAAGUCAUCGGAGAUUAAUUUGCUUCUUAUCCUUGAUGCAAUGCCAUUAAGAAUUCUUACUGGAUGCAAAGAACUGAAUACCCUCGCUUUUCCUGACCUGAACUGUUCACCUGACCACUGAGCUCUGGAUUAUGGACAAAGCCGCCACUCUCUCUUCCCCCAUGGUGAGACCUGAUCACUGGAUUAGUGCGAGUGUGAACCUUUUUACCCCGCUGCCAGUUUCCCCGCCCCUCUGUGACGUCAUCGCCAUGGUUUCCACCACAUAUAGGGGAAUCCUCUAUACCAAAUGUGUCAAACGGUACAAAAAGAUAGAAGUGGAUCUACUGUGUACUGAAGUGUACUGUUGUGCCAUGCUAACAGCUCAAUUUCUCUAUUUCACAGUAAUAUGUCCUAGGUGACAUCAUCAGCUGUCAGAAUAUCCUUAUAAUCCAUGUCAUGCUUUUUUUCACUCCUCUUUAAAUGUCGGUCUGGCUGUAUGGCAAGAAAUCCAGGAGGGGGGAUGUUGGAGUUGGGGAUAUGAUUCUUGCCCAAUAUGAUCACUGGAAGACACGGAAGCCUCAGUUUCAACUCCUCUGAGUUUUGGGGUUGUGGUUCAUGUAUUAGUUGAGUUUCCGAGAUGCUAAUCAGCUCCUCCCAGUUGGACAAACAACACCUUGUUGCCACCUUGCAACUGACCAAAAGAAAAGAAAAAAAAAAGCAACCAAAGAUUCCUGCUGCACCGCAUCCAAACCAGAAAGAAAAAUUGUUGCAGCACAUGUUUGGACAAUUCUUUAGAAAUCCAAAGCAACGUGCAGAGUUACUCCAGCCGGCGCUUAAUUUUAAUGGUACGAUACCACAGGUACUGUGCAACAUGUGGAACUAAAUAGAACCUUUGUGUUUCGGAAAUGAGUGAUUUUAUAGGAUAGAACAGAUAUACAUUACUUUGCUGGACUAUGAAUUAUGGUUAUAUAUAGUCUGCUUUUGCAUUAUGGACAGGUCUUGAUGGGGCCUGAGUUCAACACCUCUUAUGAAACUCACCCUGUAUGACAUGAAGCUGUAUAAAUGAUGGGAACAGCACUGACAUGCUGGGACGAUACUGCUGAGCUGUGCUCGUUUGAAUCCAAUUAUAAGAAUACCCAGAUGGUUCUGUGUAACAAACCAUCUGGUGUCAGGUUGUCUUCAAUGGAUGCUUUAUAGUUGGUUUAGACUAAGUUAUUGGAAUAGUAAUAUAACCGACCGUUAAACAAAAAUAAAACCAAAAGUAUAAUCAAAGCUCAAAUAAACUCAAUUGAAUAGGUUCCUUUUUUUGAUUUUUGUAUUGCUUUGAAGUGGCUUAUCGGCAGCCAUGUUGCAAGCAAUACUGCCUCCGAGAUUCUUUCAAGCAAUCAAGAGCUAUACCACUAGGACCAGGUUUCAGAGGAGU